rnacentral:rRNA from 1 species
GACGAACGCUGGCGGCGUGCUUAACACAUGCAAGUCGAGCGGUAAGGCCCUUUCGGGGGUACACGAGCGGCGAACGGGUGAGUAACACGUGGGUGACCUGCCUCUAGCUCUGGGAUAAGCCUGGGAAGCUGGGUCUAAUACCGGAUAUGACCUCGCGGUGCAUGUUGCGGGGUGGAAAGCCUUGUGCGGCUAGGGAUGGGCCCGCGGCCUAUCAGCUUGUUGGUGGGGUGANGGCCUACCAAGGCGACGACGGGUAGCCGGCCUGAGAGGGCGACCGGCCACACUGGGACUGAGACACGGCCCAGACUCCUACGGGAGGCAGCAGUGGGGAAUCUUGCGCAAUGGGCGAAAGCCUGACGCAGCGACGCCGCGUGAGGGAUGACGGCCUGGUUGUAACU